CACAUACAGUAUUUCUUCAUUCUUCACAUCUUUGCGUAAGCCAGAAGACUCACAUAAAGCAAGUUGAAAGCUACACUACUUUAUCUUGCAGAGAGCCCAAUAUGGGGCACGGAGAGCUCAGUGGAGGUCCAAUACUUCUAGAAACCACUAGCCUAGAAUUCCCCAGUAAGUAAGAACGGGUACAGGAGCACCCUGCAUCCCGCCCUGCACUGGCACUGGAAGAGCCUGGGCUCACCUGCAUGAGCUCCGCGCGGACCGGCUGAAUGUGGUCAUAGAGGAAAUCAGGCUGCAGGUUGUCCACGCAUAACUCCAAGGUCCUCAGGCCCUGGCUGACCAACGUCUGUGACCCGUUGAGAGCAGACACCAAGGGGUCCAUGAGCAUGGGCAGGUAGGGCAGGAGCGAGCUCAGCCUCACAGGCACUGUGAGACACAGCUCCACGAAGAGGUCCUUCAUGUGCUGCUUAUGCAGGCCGCUCUGCAGCAUGUUCAGCCCUAAACACAGGGUUCAAGGACGGCAGAGAGGAGAGUUACUGCCAGACAGCCCAACACAAACUGUACAAGAAUUCCCCUAUGGGAAGAUAUCAUUCCUCAGAGACAACUGGUGAUAACAUUCAACUUUCUGCAGGAAUUAAAAUACUCUGCCUUCGGUGGAAGUACAUUUUUAUUAGGUUUUUUUGUUCUACCAUCUGCUGCUUUUUCAGUGGGAGAUGGAACCAGGGAUAUCAUACCUGAGAGUCUCUCGAGCAGUAUAUCCUGAUCCAAUUAGUAUGGAUUCAUCAAACAGCUUGUCCAUGCAAGAUGGCAUCAUGACCAAACCUCUUCCCUACUCCCCUGGAGGCCUGUAGACUUCACCAGGGUAGAAACAGCUGGUCUUCACUCGAAGACAAAUCACAUUUCUGAGGAUGUACAGAUAAGGCAGCAACCUACAUUUUUUAGGCCUCUCUUCCAUACUCCCCUAGGGAGCCCUGGCCACAAACAUCCAAAGGAUGUUUAGAUUCUGGAAUAAGCCUGGCAUUGUUGCCAGCGUCAGUAAAUCAAAUAAAAUAAAGUACACUCUC